AGGAAUCAUCGCCAGCCUCAGAGAUCCAGGCUCCUUGCCUGAGGCUCUUCAUUCGUAAACAAAUGCUUUGUGGGUAGAAAGAACAGGCCUUCACUGCUCUGCAGAUGAGGGGCAUUCCUGGUACUUGUUACACCUGACAGUUUCAGGGUCCCUCCCGAGAGAUGAGAUUUCCACCUUGUGGAUGCGAUACAAGUGAAUUAAGUGUUUUCCUUGGCCCUGGGUCUAAACCAGUAGAGCCUUGAAUCAUCGCUGAUUUUGUUUGUUUGUUUGUUUGUUUGUUUGUUUUUAAAUGGAUUUAACUGUUUGGCCCACACACAUUUGGACACUGAGGGACGUGUGUAAUUGUCAGGUGUGGGAAGAUGUUGCAGGGACUGGAUGGGGUUGCCUUGAAACCAAGCAGGUAUCUUCAGACACACGUUUGCCUUCUGUCUAUUUGCUAUUGGAUGUCGUUGGAUAUAAGAAGCGAUAAGGGUUGAAUCCCCAAGAAGCUCAGCACCUGACAUGUGCGUAAUGUGUCUCUGACCUGGCAUGCCACUCCAGGAACUGGGAAAAGGCCCUGUUAGACUCUUGGCACAGAUGAAGGAGACCAGGCAGAGACAUAUCAUCAGCAAAAUUAUGCCAAGUGCUCAUUAUGAGAUACUAGGAGUUAGAUGGACUCUCUGGUAUGCAGACAGGUAGGGAAAGAGUCCGCGGCUAGCUAAUAAAAGUGGCAGAUUUCCAAGAUGGUCAGCCUCUUCCUUGCCUUGUCUAAUUGAGACAAAAGCCUGGUUGCUAAAAACAAAGGCCUUGUUGGCUUAUGUCUCCCACCAGCAGGACCCAACUGAUGAACUGCCUCAACAAGCUCGAGGACAGAACAGGACAUGUCACAUAGCAGUUGACAACCAAUUAGCCUAUCUUUUUUUCAAACUGAUCUAUCCUAAAUCAAGAGAGGAAAAGUUUUUCAGAGACUUUAAAACCCUAGCCCUUAAGAAGAAACUGGGUCCCCGGAGCCGACCUUGGCGCACCGGAGCAUUUCUCUUUCCGGAGCGGCCUGCUGGGCCUCAUGGAGGCUGUUCUGCCAGACAGCUGCCCAAGAGGGAUGGCAGUGCAGUGAGCCAGCUGAGGAGAGACCAGCUCUAGAGGCUAGGGUGCACUUCCAAGUAACCCUGUUUAUCAUGGAAGCAGGUGUCAAGCUAGGCAUGCAGUCCAUCCUCAUCGCCACCACAUGUACCAUUUACCCUAAGUUCUUCUGCAAGAUCAACCUGGACACAUAUGACCUCUAUCUGGUCGCCAUGUUUUCCAUUAACUUGGCUGGCAAAGUGAAGGAGCAACACUUGCACACUCGUGACAUCAUCAACAUGUCGCCCAGGUACUUUAACCCAGGCAGUGAGCCGUUGGAGCUGGAUUCCCGCUUCUGGGAGCUAUGAGACAGCAUUGUACAGUGUGAGCUUCUUACGCUGCGAGUUCUGCGCUUCCAAGUCUCUUUCCAGAAUCUACACAAGUACCUGUUACACUACUCGAUUUCCCUCAAGAACUGGCUGAAUCGUUACAGCUGGCAACGAACCCUCAUCUCUGUUACAGCUUGGGCUCUGCUGCGAGAUAGCUACCAUGGGGAGCUAUGCCUCCGCUUCCAGGCUCAGCACCUAGCCGUGGCCGUGCUCUGUCUGACCCUGCAGGUCUAUGGAGUCGAGUUGCCUGCAGAGGGUGGCGGGUAUUUAGUGAUGACCUUACCAAGCCAAUCAUUGAUGAUACUGUGUCUGAUCUCAUUCAGAUUUGUACUAUGGAUACAGAGAUCCCCUAAGGUCCUGGCCGAGGCGGGACCAAAGACCAGGAUGAUUGGAGGCCUGGGUAUGAUGCUACCAAGUUGCUGUGAUGGCGUGUGUCCACUCGGAGGACUGGCUGUGCUGUCAGAGGAUGUCACUGGUGACUGCAAUGACAUGCUGUCAUUUUGUCCCCAGCAGCCCUUGUUCAAAUAAUGCCAAGAGCCUCCAUGUGGGCAGGAUAUACUGAGCUUUCUAGAAUUGACUGCAUUAGCUUUUGCCCUUUGAGAAGAUGCUGCAUUUGAGGCAUGGGCCAUUGCAGGUCGCCAACAGAAAAGUUAAAGAAUAGGACUGCACCCUUAGGAGAAGUAAGAAUGUGUAACAUAAGAUCUUAUUUUGUUUAAUAAAGAUUAUGCAAAUAAAAUAUGG